rnacentral:rRNA from 1 species
AGCGUACACGGUGGAUGCCUAGGCAGUCAGAGGCGAUGAAGGGCGUGCUAAUCUGCGAAAAGCGUCGGUAAGGUGAUAUGAACCGUUAUAACCGGCGAUACCCGAAUGGGGAAACCCAGUGUGUUUCGACACACUAUCAUGUCAUGAAUACAUAGUGGCAUGAGGCGAACCGGGGGAACUGAAACAUCUAAGUACCCCGAGGAAAAGAAAUCAACCGAGAUUCCCCCAGUAGCGGCGAGCGAACGGGGAGGAGCCCAGAACCUGAAUCGGCUUGUGUGUUAGUGGAAGCGUCUGGAAAGUCGCGCAGCAAAGGGUGAUAGCCCCGUACACUAAAAUGCACAGGUCGUGAGUUCGAUGAGUAGGGCGGGACACGUGACAUCCUGUCUGAAUAUGGGGGGACCAUCCUCCAAGGCUAAAUACUCCUGACUGACCGAUAGUGAACCAGUACCGUGAGGGAAAGGCGAAAAGAACCCCGGCGAGGGGAGUGAAAUAGAACCUGAAACCGUGUACGUACAAGCAGUGGGAGCACCUUCGUGGUGUGACUGCGUACCUUUUGUAUAAUGGGUCAGCGACUUAUAUUUUGUAGCAAGGUUAACCGUAUAGGGGAGCCGUAGGGAAACCGAGUCUUAACUGGGCGAAUAGUUGCAAGGUAUAGACCCGAAACCCGGUGAUCUAGCCAUGGGCAGGUUGAAGGUUGGGUAACACUAACUGGAGGACCGAACCGACUAAUGUUGAAAAAUUAGCGGAUGACUUGUGGCUGGGGGUGAAAGGCCAAUCAAACCGGGAGAUAGCUGGUUCUCCCCGAAAGCUAUUUAGGUAGCGCCUCGUGAACUCAUCUUCGGGGGUAGAGCACUGUUUCGGCUAGGGGGCCAUCCCGGCUUACCAAACCGAUGCAAACUCCGAAUACCGAAGAAUGUUAUCACGGGAGACACACGGCGGGUGCUAACGUCCGUCGUGAAGAGGGAAACAACCCAGACCGCCAGCUAAGGUCCCAAAGUCAUGGUUAAGUGGGAAACGAUGUGGGAAGGCAUAGACAGCCAGGAUGUUGGCUUAGAAGCAGCCAUCAUUUAAAGAAAGCGUAAUAGCUCACUGGUCGAGUCGGCCUGCGCGGAAGAUGUAACGGGGCUAAACCAUGCACCGAAGCUGCGGCAGCGACGCUUAGGCGUUGUUGGGUAGGGGAGCGUUCUGUAAGCCGUUGAAGGUGGCCUGUGAGGGUUGCUGGAGGUAUCAGAAGUGCGAAUGCUGACAUAAGUAACGAUAAAGCGGGUGAAAAGCCCGCUCGCCGGAAGACCAAGGGUUCCUGUCCAACGUUAAUCGGGGCAGGGUGAGUCGACCCCUAAGGCGAGGCUGAAAAGCGUAGUCGAUGGGAAACAGGUUAAUAUUCCUGUACUUGGUGUUACUGCGAAGGGGGGACGGAGAAGGCUAGGCUAGCCGGGCGACGGUUGUCCCGGUUUAAGCGUGUAGGGGGUGUGACCUGGUAAAUCCGGUUGCAUNUAACCCUGAGGCGUGAUGACGAUGCACUACGGUGCAGAAGUAGUUGAUGCCCUGCUUCCAGGAAAAUCCUCUAAGCUCCAGGUAACAUUAAAUCGUACCCCAAACCGACACAGGUGGUCAGGUAGAGAAUACCAAGGCGCUUGAGAGAACUCGGGUGAAGGAACUAGGCAAAAUGGUGCCGUAACUUCGGGAGAAGGCACGCUGGCAUGUAGGUGAAGUCCCUUGCGGAUGGAGCUGAAGCCAGUCGAAGAUACCAGCUGGCUGCAACUGUUUAAUAAAAACACAGCACUGUGCAAACACGAAAGUGGACGUAUACGGUGUGACGCCUGCCCGGUGCUGGAAGGUUAAUUGAUGGGGUCAGCCGCAAGGCGAAGCUCUUGAUCGAAGCCCCAGUAAACGGCGGCCGUAACUAUAACGGUCCUAAGGUAGCGAAAUUCCUUGUCGGGUAAGUUCCGACCUGCACGAAUGGCGUAAUGAUGGCCAGGCUGUCUCCACCCGAGACUCAGUGAAAUUGAACUCGCUGUGAAGAUGCAGUGUACCCGCGGCAAGACGGAAAGACCCCGUGAACCUUUACUAUAGCUUGACACUGAACAUUGAGCCUUGAUGUGUAGGAUAGGUGGGAGGCUUUGAAGCGUGGACGCCAGUCUGCGUGGAGCCAUCCUUGAAAUACCACCCUUUAAUGUUUGAUGUUCUAACUCGGCCCCGUGAUCCGGGGUGAGGACAGUGUCUGGUGGGUAGUUUGACUGGGGCGGUCUCCUCCCAAAGAGUAACGGAGGAGCACGAAGGUUAGCUAAUCACGGUCGGACAUCGUGAGGUUAGUGCAAAGGCAUAAGCUAGCUUGACUGCGAGAGUGACGGCUCGAGCAGGUACGAAAGUAGGUCUUAGUGAUCCGGUGGUUCUGAAUGGAAGGGCCAUCGCUCAACGGAUAAAAGGUACUCCGGGGAUAACAGGCUGAUACCGCCCAAGAGUUCAUAUCGACGGCGGUGUUUGGCACCUCGAUGUCGGCUCAUCACAUCCUGGGGCUGAAGUAGGUCCCAAGGGUAUGGCUGUUCGCCAUUUAAAGUGGUACGCGAGCUGGGUUUAGAACGUCGUGAGACAGUUCGGUCCCUAUCUGCCGUGGGCGUUGGAAGAUUGAGAGGGGUUGCUCCUAGUACGAGAGGACCGGAGUGAACGCACCACUGGUGUUCGGGUUGUCAUGCCAAUGGCAUUGCCCGGUAGCUAAGUGCGGAAAAGAUAAGCGCUGAAAGCAUCUAAGCGCGAAACUUGCCUCAAGAUGAGUCU